rnacentral:sRNA from 1 species
UCAUGAACAACGCAAAUUUUAACAUUCUCGGAACUAGCUUCAAUGCGAUUUACGAGGCCCCCGGCUGCUUCACGGCGGUCGGCUGUGGCCCAGGACGCAAGUCGUAGGUUUUCGAACAGAAUGGAGAGGGACGGAGUUUUGCUUCGGCGCUCGAUCUUGGGUGCGGUUCUUCCCUUUUUCUGCCGUGGGAAAGGCCGCAAUGAUUGGACGUACAU